rfam:Nelumbo nucifera unplaced genomic scaffold scaffold00035, whole genome shotgun sequence
CCUAUCAAUGCUAGUGAUUUGAUUCUCUAUAUUCUCACCGGUCUUGGAUCUGAAUAUGAAUAUGUUGUUAUCGCUAUUACUAAUAGGUCCAAUCUAGAGGACCUUGAUG